rnacentral:rRNA from 1 species
GCCAGACUCCUACGGGAGGCAGCAGUGGGGGAUAUUGCACAAUGGGGGGAACCCUGAUGCAGCGACGCCGCGUGGGUGAAGGAGCGUUUCGGCGCGUAAAGCCCUAUCGGCAGGGAAGAAGGAGGACGGUACCUGACUAAGAAGCCCCGGCUAACUACGUGCCAGCAGCCGCGGUAAUACGUAGGGGGCAAGCGUUAUCCGGAUUUACUGGGUGUAAAGGGGGCGCAGACGGCAGCGCAAGCCAGGAGUGAAAGCCCGGGGCCCAACCCCGGGACUGCUCUUGGAACUGCGCGGCUGGAGUGCAGGAGGGGCAGGCGGAAUUCCUGGUGUAGCGGUGAAAUGCGUAGAUAUCAGGAGGAACACCGGUGGCGAAGGCGGCCUGCUGGACUGCGACUGACAUUGAGGCCCGAAAGCGUGGGGAGCAAACAGGAUUAGAUACCCCAGUAGU